rnacentral:rRNA from 1 species
UGCCAGCCGCCGCGGUAACACGAACCGUACGAACGUUAUUCGGAAUCACUGGGCUUAAAGGGUGCGUAGGCGGCUAAGUAGGUUGGGUGUGAAAUCCCACGGCUCAACCGUGGAACUGCGCUCAAAACCCCUUAGCUUGAGGAAGGCAGAGGUGAGCGGAACUGAUGGUGGAGCGGUGAAAUGCGUUGAUAUCAUCAGGAACACCAGUGGCGAAGGCGGCUCACUGGGCCUUUUCUGACGCUGAGGCACGAAAGCUAGGGGAGCGAACGGGAUUAGAUA